CCUANGGGAGGCAGCAGUGGGGAAUAUUGCACAAUGGGCGAAAGCCUGAUGCAGCGACGCCGCGUGAGGGAUGACGGCCUUCGGGUUGUAAACCUCUUUCGGCAGGGACGAAGCGAAAGUGACGGUACCUGCAGAAGAAGUCCCGGCUAACUACGUGCCAGCAGCCGCGGUAAGACGUAGGGGACGAGCGUUAUUCGGAUUUACUGGGCGUACAGGGAGCGUAGGCGGUUCGGUAAGCCCUCUGUGAAAUCUUCAGGCUUAACCUGGAAAAGUCGGAGGGGACUGCUGGGCUAGAGGACGGGAGAGGAGCGCGGAAUUCCCGGUGUAGCGGUGAAAUGCGUAGAGAUCGGGAGGAAGGCCGGUGGCGAAGGCGGCGCUCUGGAACGUUUCUGACGCUGAGGCUCGAAAGCGUGGGGAGCAAACAGGAUUAGAUACCCCGNUANUC
rnacentral:rRNA from 1 species